ensembl:lncRNA
AACAAUAAAUGUAGUAUAUCUUUACUCUUUAUAGGAAUAGGUCACCCAAAAAUGAAAAUUUGCAGAUAAUUCACUCAACCUCAUGUAAUGCAAGAUGUAAUGCAGUGAAUGGGUGCCAUCAGAAUGAGUCCAAACAGCUGAUAAAACUAUCACAGUAAUCCACCCUGGAUUGCAAACAUGCAACUUUUCACCUCACAAGACAUUAAUUGAUGAACUGGAGUCUUGUGGAUUACUUGUGGAUUAUUGUGAUGUUUUUAUCAGCAGUUUGGGCUCUCAUUCUGACGGCACCCAUUCACUGCAGAGCAUCCAUUGAUGAACAAUUGAACAAAUUUUAAUUUUAGAGUGAACUAUUCCUUUAAUAAAGACUUCAACAAGACACAAAGUGCAUGCAACUUGUAAAUUUUCCUAAGAAAGUUUAUUGUGCACCUCAUAUGAUUUGUCCAGCGUUAAAGGGUGCAUGAUAACAUAGUGAUAGUGUAAAAGUUGGCCUAAAAAACACAAAAUGAAACAUAAUGAGGGUGUGUUGAGUGGGUCCAGUAGAUUGGAUAAACUUCUGAGAAGCCUUGAAAGUCUGGUAGACUGAAAGCCAGAGGGGCGACUUGCUCAAUACAAUGGAUGUAUUUUUAUUGCACCCUGACUGGGUUUUUCAGCAUGACCUUGGCUUGCUAUGGAAUUGUUGUUAUUAUUAUCUAGACUGACGUCAAUCCCCAACCCCUCCUUCUCUUUCUGUCUCUCUCUCUCCUCGGCUCCCAGAGGGUGCGCCCAGCAGGAGUAAAUCAGUGUCGUCAACUGACAGUCAGGCAGCGGAGGAUCGUCAGGGUCCAUCAGGGGUUUAUUCCUCACAGGCCAGCAGCGAGGCCAAACGGAGACGUUGUGAUGAUAAAGACGUCCUGCCGUCUCACUACGACAGUGACGGAGACAAGAGCGAGGACAAUCUUGUAGUAGAUG